UACGAAGGGGGCUAGCGUUGCUCGGAAUCACUGGGCGUAAAGCGCACGUAGGCGGCUUGCUAAGUCAGGGGUGAAAUCCUGGAGCUCAACUCCAGAACUGCCUUUGAUACUGGCGACCUUGAGUCCGGGAGAGGUGAGUGGAACUGCGAGUGUAGAGGUGAAAUUCGUAGAUAUUCGCAAGAACACCAGUGGUGAAGGCGGCUCACUGGCCCGGUACUGACGCUGAGGUGCGAAAGCGUGGGGAGCAAACAGG
rnacentral:rRNA from 1 species